UACGAAGGGGGCUAGCGUUGCUCGGAAUUACUGGGCGUAAAGCGCACGUAGGCGGAUUGUUAAGUCGGGGGUGAAAUCCUGGAGCUCAACUCCAGAACUGCCUUCGAUACUGGCGAUCUCGAGUUCGGGAGAGGUGAGUGGAACUGCGAGUGCGGAGGUGAAAUUCGUAGAUAUUCGCAAGAACACCAGUGGCGAAGGCGGCUCACUGGCCCGAUACUGACGCUGAGGUGCGAAAGCGUGGGGAGCAAACAGG
rnacentral:rRNA from 1 species